UACGGCCAUAUGACGUUAAAACACCGGUUAAUGUACGAUCACCAAAGUUAAGCACCGUCGAGCCUUGUCAGUACCUAGAUGGGUGACUAUUUUUGAAUACCAGGUGCUGUAA